GGGGUUUGAAAAGCAGUUCAGCUGCUGAAGAGAUCGAGACAUGUCUUACUUGUAAGCAUGGAAAAGACAGACACUAUGUUUUAGAAAAGCUUGAUAAAGAAUCAAAGAGUCGAGAUCGUCGAUCUACUGGUGGAAGCGUUAAAGACAAGCAGCUGCUAAUAGAUCAAUCAACUCGCUUGGGACCAUUGCAAAAAAGUAUUCUGCAAGGUAAUCUCGACUUGGCAAAAACGGUAGUCAAAGAAAC